rnacentral:rRNA from 1 species
UACGAAGGGGGCUAGCGUUGCUCGGAAUCACUGGGCGUAAAGGGUGCGUAGGCGGGUCUUUAAGUCAGGGGUGAAAUCCUGGAGCUCAACUCCAGAACUGCCUUUGAUACUGAGGAUCUUGAGUACGGGAGAGGUGAGUGGAACUGCGAGUGUAGAGGUGAAAUUCGUAGAUAUUCGCAAGAACACCAGUGGCGAAGGCGGCUCACUGGCCCGUAACUGACGCUGAGGCACGAAAGCGUGGGGAGCAAACAGGGA